rnacentral:rRNA from 1 species
CUACGGGUUGCUGCAGUGGGGAAUAUUGCACAAUGGGCGAAAGCCUGAUGCAGCAACGCCGCGUGGAGGAUGACACAUUUCGGUGCGUAAACUCCUUUUAUAUAAGAAGAUAAUGACGGUAUUAUAUGAAUAAGCACCGGCUAACUCCGUGCCAGCAGCCGCGGUAAUACGGGGGGUGGAAGCGUUACUCGGAAUCACUGGGCGUAAAGAGCAUGUAGGCUGGAUGACAAGUUGGAAGUGAAAUCCUAUGGCUUAACCAUAGAACUGCUUCCAAAACUGUCUUCCUAGAGUAUGGGAGAGGUAGAUGGAAUUUCUGGUGUAGGGGUAAAAUCCGUAGAGAUCAGAAGGAAUACCGAUUGCGAAGGCGAUCUACUGGAACAUUACUGACGCUCAGAUGCGAAAGCGUGGGGAGCAAACAGGAUUAGAUACCCUUGUAGUC